GGAGAGGUGGCUCAGUAGUUAAGAGCACUGGGUGCUCUUCCAGAGGACCAGGGUUCAAUUCCCAGCAUCCUCA
rfam:Mus musculus chromosome 5, GRC primary reference assembly.